rnacentral:sRNA from 1 species
AAUAAAGCCAUCAAAAAAAUAAAUGCUGAAACCAAUGCCAAAAUUCUAGGCGUGCAGGUCAACACGUACAAGUCUCU